UUGACCGUCACCUUUAGUGGAACUUUUCUUAUUUCUUGUCUGAAUGAGGUUUUGCUUAACAGAUGAAAAACAUGGUGGCUUCACACACGACAUGACUCCAUGCCCCAGUGCUGAGCAGCUCCACACAGCUGGAGUUUGUGGUGGGAGAUACUCCGGAGUUGAGCUCCCCUUCUUGGCUCCAAGCUGCAAACCCCUGCAGAGGGCUGGAGUCUGCGUACACAUAAUUGCUCGUUCCAUUCUGACGAAAAAAAAGAGAGAAAUAAUUUUCAUCAAAAAGGUUUCAGGAGAGUGAAGCCCUAAAUACAGUAUUCACCCCCUCUUCAGAAAACCGUGU